UACAUAGGUCGCAAGCGUUGUUCGGAUUCAUUGGGCGUAAAGGGCGCGUAGGCGGCCUGUCAAGUUUGAUGUGAAAGCUCAGGGCUUAACCCUGAAAUGGCAUUGAAUACUGUUGGGCUGGAGGUUUGGAGGGGGGACUGGAAUUCUUGGUGUAGCAGUGAAAUGCGUAGAUAUCAAGAGGAACACCAGUGGCGAAGGCGAGUCCCUGGGCAACUCCUGACACUGAGGAGCGAAAGCCGGGGGAGCAAACAGG
rnacentral:rRNA from 1 species